UACGUAGGUGGCAAGCGUUGUCCGGAUUUCCUGGGCGUAAAGCGCGCGCAGGCGGUCGUUCAAGUCGCGUGUGAAAGCCCCCGGCUCAACUGGGGAGGGUCACGCGAUACUGAUCGACUCGAAGGCAGGAGAGGGUAGUGGAAUUCCCGGUGUAGUGGUGAAAUGCGUAGAUAUCGGGAGGAACACCAGUGGCGAAGGCGACUACCUGGCCUGUUCUUGACGCUGAGGCGCGAAAGCUAGGGGAGCAAACGGG
rnacentral:rRNA from 1 species